AGUGUCACACGGGACUGCCCGGGUCUUUAAAGUACCGGAGGAAGGUAGGGGGAGGUGAUGUCAAAGUCAGCAUGGCCUUUAUAUCCUGGGCUACACGCACGCUACAAUGGCCAGUACAAUGGGUUGCCAAGCCGCGAGGCGGAGCCAAUCCUAAAAAGCUGGCCUCAGUUCAGAUUGCAGUCUGCAACUCGACUGCAUGAAGUUGGAGUUGCUAGUAACCGCAGGUCAGCAAUACUGCGGUGAAUACGUUCCCGGGGAUU
rnacentral:rRNA from 1 species